rnacentral:rRNA from 1 species
CCUACGGGGGGCAGCAGUCGAGAAUCAUUCACAAUGGGGGAAACCCUGAUGGUGCGACGCCGCGUGGGGGAAUGAAGGUCUUCGGAUUGUAAACCCCUGUCAUGUGGGAGCAAAUUAAAAAGAUAGUACCACAAGAGGAAGAGACGGCUAACUCUGUGCCAGCAGCCGCGGUAAUACAGAGGUCUCAAGCGUUGUUCGGAAUCACUGGGCGUAAAGGGUGCGUAGGCUGUUGCGUAAGUCGUGUGUGAAAGGCGCGGGCUCAACCCGCGGACGGCACAUGAUACUGCGAGACUAGAGUAAUGGAGGGGGAACCGGAAUUCUCGGUGUAGCAGUGAAAUGCGUAGAUAGCGAGAGGAACACUCGUGGCGAAGGCGGGUUCCUGGACAUUAACUGACGCUGAGGCACGAAGGCCAGGGGAGCGAAAGGGAUUAGAUACCCGUGUAGUC